rnacentral:ncRNA from 1 species
GAAAAGGCAAACUUACUGAAAGGUGAGGACGCAAAAUCACAGGUCUAAGGUAAAUGUAUUGCUAAGACGGCUGGUUUGCCGA